CUGGGUUUUCUGAAGAAAGGAUAAUUCCUGAGGAGAUCGCUGUGGUAAUUAAAGGUUGCAAGGUACAUGUGACACAAAUAUUGAGCCAACUACAC
rnacentral:lncRNA from 1 species